rnacentral:rRNA from 1 species
UACGUAGGGUGCGAGCGUUAAUCGGAAUUACUGGGCGUAAAGCGUGCGCAGGCGGUUUUGUAAGCCAGAUGUGAAAUCCCCGGGCUUAACCUGGGAAUGGCAUUUGGGACUGCAAGGCUGGAGUGUGGCAGAGGAGACUGGAAUUCCUGGUGUAGCAGUGAAAUGCGUAGAUAUGCGGAGGAACACCGAUGGCGAAGGCAAUCCCCUGGGCCUGCACUGACGCUCAUGCACGAAAGCGUGGGGAGCAAACAGG